ensembl:lncRNA
CUUAGCCUCAAAGAGGACUUCUGGGGUCUUGAGCAGAACAAGAGGUCUGUGUAACCAGAAGAAAUUGUCACCCUUGGCUCCUUUGGAGGGACUAUGAUGACUGGAGAGAAGCGUCUCUGGAUGGUCAUGCGUCUGUGACUACAGCCUCUCUGGGCCUGUGAGAGAGGACAGUCCAGUUUAUUUGCCGAGGAUUCCUUUUGGAAAGGAAUGUGGACUCACAUUUUGCAUUAAGAAACUGGAAAAUCUUCUCGUAGGUCCUGGCAUAGUGCUGCCCAUGUCCUGGGUAGAUCUUGUACCAGCUGAAACUGCACAGCUCGACCUUCAUGGCGAUAGAUGUCGGCCUGCCGGGGGAAAGAUGGCGAAGAGCGGGCAUGGAUGCUAAUACCCUCAUCCUAACUGCCUAGAAGCCAGUCUUCUGUUAUUUGCCUUUGAAACAAGGGGUGGAACUCUCAUUUCCUCCAUUCCCACGUCUGCCUGGAUGCUGCAAUGUUCCUGCCUUGAUGAUAAUGGACUGAACCUCUGACCUGUAAGCCAGCCCCAAUAAAAUGUCAUCCUUAUAAGUGUU